CUAGAGCUUUGAAAAUUUAGAGAAAGCCUUAGAAGAAGGGGGCGAGCUUCAUGGUAAAACAGUUUAUCUGUUUGGAAGCACUGAGCCCCAACUAUUGGAUGUUAAUGGCGAAUCAAAGAUAGUGCUUAUUCCAAUUGUAGUUGCUGUA